GACUGCCGGUGAUAAACCGGAGGAAGGUGGGGACGACGUCAAGUCAUCAUGGCCCUUACGAGUAGGGCUACACACGUGCUACAAUGGCGCAUACAGAGGGCAGCAAGCUAGCGAUAGUGAGCGAAUCCCAAAAAGUGCGUCGUAGUCCGGAUUGGAGUCUGCAACUCGACUCCAUGAAGUCGGAAUCGCUAGUAAUCGUGGAUCAGAAUGCCACGGUGAAUACGUUCCCGGGCCUUGUACACACCGCCCGUCACACCAUGGGAGUGGGCUGCAAAAGAAGUAGGUAGUUUAACCUUCGGGAGGACGCUUACCACUUUGUGGUUCAUGACUGGGGUGAAGUCGUAACAAGGUAGCGCUAGGGGAACCUGCGGCUGGAUCACCUCC
rnacentral:rRNA from 1 species